GGUGCCCUACGGGACGCAGCAGUGGGGAAUCUUCCGCAGUGGGCGCAAGCCUGACGGAGCAACGCCGCGUGAAUGAAGAAGGUCUUCGGAUCGUAAAGUUCUGUUCUUAGGGAAGAAGUCUUAGGUUGUGAAUAAUGACUUAAGGUGACGGUACCUAUGGAGAAAGCUCCGGCUAACUACGUGCCAGCAGCCGCGGUAAUACGUAGGGAGCGAGCGUUGUCCGGAAUUACUGGGCGUAAAGGGCGCGUAGCCGGGAACUUAAGUUAGAUGUGAAAACUCCGGGCUUAACCUGGCGACUGCAUUUA
rnacentral:rRNA from 1 species